rnacentral:rRNA from 1 species
UGCGCAGGCGGCGCGUUAAGACAGGUGUGAAAGCCCCGAGCUUAACUUGGGAAUUGCGCUUGUGACUGGCGUGCUGGAGUGUGGCAGAGGGAGGUGGAAUUCCACGUGUAGCAGUGAAAUGCGUAGAGAUGUGGAGGAACACCGAUGGCGAAGGCAGCCUCCUGGGCCAGCACUGACGCUCAUGCACGAAAGCGUGGGGAGCAAACAGGAUUAGAUACCCCUGGUAGUCCACGCCCUAAACGAUGUCAACUGGUUGUUGGUGGGGUUAAACCCAUUAGUAACGAAGCUAACGCGUGAAGUUGACCGCCUGGGGAGUACGGCCGCAAGGUUAAA